UUUGGAUAACUUCUUUGAUUGGUUAGAAAUUGACAAUUGACAGUUUGUGGAGUACUGACGUUCUCCAUGUAAUUUUCAAAUUCGACCUUUGACUUUUACAGCUGAUGUAAAGAUUGUUUGUAUUUUUCAAAUUAAUUCACAUAAUAAUUAACUAACUUAUUCACAAUGAAUAUGCCAGAAUCGGAUAGUGAAGAUGAAUUACCUCCUGGGUGGGAAGAAAGAGUUACUGUUGACGGUAGUGUUUUUUACGCUAAUCAUUUAACAAAAAAUACGCAAUGGACCCAUCCAAGGACCGGAAAGAAAAAAAAGGUAUCAGGAGAGCUUCCAUUCGGAUGGCAAAGAUGUGUAGAUAAAAAUACUGGGAAGGUAAUUUAUGUUGAUCAUGAAAAUCGCAGGACCACUUACACAGAUCCAAGAUUGGCGUUUGCUGUUGAAGAAAAAGAACAUGUUAAUGAUUACAGGCAGAGAUUUGACGCUUCCAGUACUGCUCUACAGGUAUUGCAUGGUAGGGACUUGAAUGGCAAGGUGGCUCUUAUAACAGGUGCUAAUAGUGGUAUUGGUUUUGAAACUGCAAAAUCUCUCGCCAAACAUGGUUGCAGUGUUAUAAUGGCUUGUAGAAAUCUUGCAGCUGCAGAAGAAGCUAUCAAUCAAAUUCGUGAAGAUAAACUUACAGCCGGUGAUAACUGCAUAGCAAUACAUUUAGAUUUAACUUCACUUUCAUCAGUUGUACAAUUUGCUAAUACUAUUAAAAGCAAAUAUGACAAAAUUGACAUGUUGAUAUUGAAUGCUGGUGUAUUUGGACUACCUUAUAGUAAAACUCUAGAUGGGUUCGAGACUACAUUCCAAGUAAAUCAUCUGUCUCAUUUUUAUUUAACUAUUUUACUGAGACCUUUACUAGUUACUGGAUCAAGAGUGAUUGUAGUAUCUUCAGAGUCUCACAGGUUUGCUAAUCUAACUCGGGAAAAUAUGACGCCGCUAUUCCUAUCUCCUGAUUGCGCUAGUAAAUAUUGGGAUAUGAUGGCAUAUAACAAUUCCAAAUUGUGUAACGUUCUUUUUGCUAGACAAUUAUCAAAAAAUCUUCAAUCUGUCGGCAUAUCUGUGUUCAGUUUACAUCCUGGAAACAUGGUAUCUUCGAAAUUGGCAAGGAAUUGGUGGUUAUACAGAGUGUUGUUUGCUAUUGUUAGACCUUUUACCAAAAGUUUACAACAAGCAGCAGCUACUAGUGUAUAUUGUGCUACAGCUGUUGAAUUGGUAGGUGUAACAGGUGUUUACGUUAACAAUUCUUAUCAAUGUCAAGAAAGUGCAGCUGCUCAAGACGACCAAUUAGCUAAAUUACUAUGGGAUAUUAGUAUCGAGAUGAUACAGAGCGUUCUGGGAAAGAACGCUCCUGGUUUAGAAAAUGAGUCCAAAAAGUUAUUAGAGGAGUGACUGUUUUAAUUUAUACAAUGGCAUUUCGAAAAGUGUGUGGAGAGAUAUUUAACACCAGAAAGGAAAAACGUUCUAAAUCUUGAUUCAAGCUGUGUUACCAUUAAAACCGUAUUGAAUUGAGUGGUUUGGAGAGCCUGAUAAGUUGCUUUUGAGCUAUCAUCAUGGACGCAGUUGUUUUAAAUGCGAUAGUGUUUCGUAGGAGGCAACGGCGGAAACAGAAAACAAGAAAAGUGUGGAUACAUCACAUAAAUAGGAAAAGGCCGGAUUUUGGUAUGUUUCAUCAUUUACAUUCUGACCUACAAAAUAAUGGGAAGAAAUUCUAUAACUUUUAAACUUUUUAACUUUUAAAAUUAAUAACUCCAAGUCCACGACCGGACGAGGAAUCUGACAAGUUGAAUCAAGUGCGACCUCGAAUCAAACCUUAUUGAACCAGAUUCGUCCGGUCUGAAGGCGGGAAAAAGAGUCCCUUCACAUUUAAACGUAGCGCUCAAAGCCGAAUCUUGGUCAAUCAGAUUCAACUUGAUUCGGAGUGAUUCUGAUUGAUUCGGAUUCGUUUGGUGUGAAAGGGCCCUAUGGGGGCCUUCAUAGGUUUGGAUAUGCUUGAUUCAGAAAAAGAAGGGAAGCUACAGGUUUUUUUCUAGAGACUUUUGAUCGCGAGUGUGCGACUUGAGUCGAUUUUUUUGCUCACGAGUGUAUAUCUAUAUCUACAUAGAUUUUUAUUGAUAAUUUGAGAUUAGUAAUUUGUACUUUUUGUAAGCAACAAUCAUAAUAAAAAUUAUGUUUGAAUAGUUUUAAUCCUUUAUAAAAAAUAUAAACAACUGCUGUUAUUUACCUUGCGAAUCAAUUGGAGCUGUAUUAUUUAAAUCAUUUAUUUUUAAGGGUUUCACGAAUUCCACGUCGUUGGUUUCCAAAUCAUCCAGAUGUGUUUUUUGAAUAUAUUCUGAAACAAAAGGAAAAUAAUUAUCACAAGAUUAAUACGAAUGGGAAAGUUAACAUAAUAGAGCAUACGCUUAUUUGGAAUCCAACCAAUAUUUCUGUUAAAUUUAGAACCUAAUUUUUUUGCACAUUUUAUUCAAUAACCACUAAGUAAAGAAAUUUAUAACAAUAGUUGCAAGGAGGGGUUUGUUACCAAUGACUAGUUUCGACGUUAUUACGUCGCAUCAGAGUGGUUUAACAACCCUCCUUAUGGCUUUAGACCCGAACUGAAUACAACGUCGCUAUUUGAUUCAUUGAUUCAAACUUUUCUUACUUCCAACUGUGAAACACUGGUCAGGUAGAAAUCUAGCGUAGUCGCCGAUAAUCUGAAACUAUAUUGUCUAUAUUACAGCCAAUAUUUUGCAGUUUUCUUUUCGUUCUUUGUGUUAUUAUCUCUUUGAUGAAUAAUUGUACGAAUGUGGUUUAAAAAUCGAAGCAUUUCACUCUCAUACCAUGGCUUUUACUGUUUUUACUACCGUUGUUGUUUGGGAAUAAAGCGGUUUAUUUGGAAAAUUAACCCUAUACGUCGUUUAGACAUCUGAAGCAUUGGUACAUUGGAUACAUGAAGGUAAGUGAAAGUCUCUCCAAAGUGUUGUAAGUCGGGCUUGGAAUCGGUAAUCUCCAGCGUAUACACACAAUGGAGAACGGGAAAGAAUCACAGCUCAUACUCAUAGUCCUCACCGCAGCAAGAAAUAGGGCGCAGUCCACGUCAAGGAUUAAUAGCGUCCUCAAGCAAGCUACUGGUUGACGACAAUGGAUUUUUCAAGACUGAGAGCAUUUCCUUGGCGUCAAGAACUAUUUUUAGAGGUGGGAAUAUGCUAUAAUAGACCUGACUUGGUAAUUUUAAUUAAUGGAACAAUGUGUUGCAAGUAAUUUGGGGAGUAAUAACUCAACAAUUUUCAAUAAUUUAUUGAUGACUCUUUCAAACAAAGCGACACCAUUUAGACUAGCCAGGGGCGGUUUAUGAUACUGCCGUUUAGGCAUAUCUUUUAUCGUUUUUUCUCCAAAUCUGGAAAAGCCCAUCUCCUGACAAACCUGGUUUAAAAAGUAGUUGUCUCGUUUUUCCAUAUUUAUUACCAAAUUCUUCUGAGAGCUCUUUCUUUGGCUCUGCUUCUUAUGUUUUGUUCAUUCCCGGUGAUCUAUUUUAUAUACCUUCUCAAGAUAAUUAUUAGGUGUAUUGGUGUUUUUUUUUGCCGGUAGUGCUACUCCCGAGGUUGUUCUAAAGGCUGACGCUACCCGCAAAAGUAUGUUUCUUCGGGUGUUCAACAUAUCUACUUCAAUUGUUGAGCACUGUAAAUGUUUAACCCUUAACCGGCGUGGUCCGAAAUUUUAACACUUAAUGCGUUGCGCAGUCCAGGGGACUCCAAAAUAUAAAUAGUGUAUUUCCUAUUACAUAAUGAAAUAGUGUUUUUUUCUCAUGUUGUAUACAUAUUCAAAACUUAUAAGAAAACAAACAUUUUUUAUUUUCAACCAACUUAGUAACAAACCAGAGCAAAAAAUCUACAACUAAAGAUAUUAAUAUUUUAACAAAAUAAACAUAGUAUUCCAUUUAUAUUUAUUUUGAAAGAAAAAACUGAAAAAUAAAAA